rnacentral:rRNA from 1 species
UACGGAGGGUGCAAGCGUUGCUCGGAAUGACUGGGCGUAAAGGGCGCGUAGGCGGCAUGGUUAGUUAGGCGUGAAAUUCCCGGGCUCAACCUGGGGACUGCGUUUGAUACGUGCAGGCUAGAGUGGGGAAGAGGGUCGUGGAAUUCCCAGUGUAGAGGUGAAAUUCGUAGAUAUUGGGAAGAACACCGGUGGCGAAGGCGGCGACCUGGUCCUUUACUGACGCUGAGGCGCGAAAGCGUGGGGAGCAAACAGG